UAGGGAAUCUUCGGCAAUGGGGGGCAACCCCUGACCGAGCAACGCCGCGUGAGUGAAGAAGGUUUUUCGGAUCGUAAAGCUCUGUUGUAAGAGAAGAACGUGUGUGAGAGUGGAAAGUUCACACAGNGACGGUAACUUACCAGAAAGGGACGGCUAACUACGUGCCAG
rnacentral:rRNA from 1 species